AAAAGACGGAGUUGCUGAUGCCAUAUGUCAUUUCUGACAAUAUGAUCAACAUGUGACGUGUCUGAGGUAAGUUGUGAUAUUUUUACAAAAAUAAUCUUACAAGUUUGCUCUGGAUUUUACAAAUAGGAUAAUGUUUUUUCGGGUUUGUGAACAUGUAUUAGUAUUUUUUAGAUCCGUCGCAAUGCAUGGGCACGAACAGUGGUGGCAAGAGAUGCACCAUCAAGGGCGGCGGCGGGUGGCUUUAUCAGGUGGGCUAGAGCCACAACCACAACCAAUAAUAUGCUUGAGAAGCCUCCGUGAUGUGCUCCAGCGCCGAGCAACAAGUCGGUGGUGCAAUGCUGAUAGAACAAUGACAACAGCGUUCGUGAGAACCGAGAGCACCCACGCAACUAUUUUCCUCUACGAUGGUAGGGGGAGAACCGGGAUGAGAUCUACGAGGUAGCUCGGCCACAACGAAGGCGACUUGAAUUGUGAGCAGAACAACGCCGGUUAUGCAGCCACCGAUUGAGAGUGAAUUAGUGAAAGCAAUACUUGCAUCUAGGAUGGGAUAGCAUACUAUGUCUUGUGCUUGUGCCGAUGGAUGGUCUACAAUGACGACAAUCUUUUGAAAUCAUUAUCCUAGAUGGUUCCAUCGAAUAGUAUGGGUGUGAUGUAUCUUUUCAUCUUUGCUUCAUAUUUAAUUAGGUGCAUAUUUCGUGAGAUAAUAUCUGAUUUUGAUAUGUUUUUUC
rnacentral:lncRNA from 1 species